rnacentral:rRNA from 1 species
ACGGGAGGCAGCAGUGGGGAAUAUUGCACAAUGGGCGAAAGCCUGAUGCAGCGACGCCGCGUGAGGGAUGACGGCCUUCGGGUUGUAAACCUCUUUCAGCAGGGAAGAAGCGCAAGUGACGGUACCUGCAGAAGAAGCACCGGCUAACUACGUGCCAGCAGCCGCGGUAAUACGUAGGGUGCGAGCGUUGUCCGGAAUUAUUGGGCGUAAAGAGCUCGUAGGCGGCCUGUCGCGUCGGAUGUGAAAGCCCGGGGCUUAACCCCGGGUCUGCAUUCGAUACGGGCAGGCUAGAGUGUGGUAGGGGAGAUCGGAAUUCCUGGUGUAGCGGUGAAAUGCGCAGAUAUCAGGAGGAACACCGGUGGCGAAGGCGGAUCUCUGGGCCAUUACUGACGCUGAGGAGCGAAAGCGUGGGGAGCGAACAGGAUUAGAUACCCUGGUAGUCCACGCCGUAAACGUUGGGAACUAGGUGUUGGCGACAUUCCACGUCGUCGGUGCCGCAGCUAACGCAUUAAGUUCCCCGCCUGGGGAGUACGGCCGCAAGGCUAAAACUCAAAGGAAUUGACGGGGGCCCGCACAAGCAGCGGAGCAUGUGGCUUAAUUCGACGCAACGCGAAGAACCUUACCAAGGCUUGACAUAUGCCGGAAACGGCCAGAGAUGGUCGCCCCCUUGUGGUCGGUAUACAGGUGGU